GACGGAGGUGUUGUCUCCAGGAAGCAUCAUCGAAAGGCGUGGUGCACAAGGACCUUCAGGAUGCCUGUGCCUGGUGUCGGCUGCGCCUCAGUUUCUGGACCUGACUCAGAAGGAUGCCUGUGAGCAGAAGAGCUGGCACGCGCAGCUCAGUGGAGCAUCAGUGCCAAUCAGUCCUGUACCCUGGCUGAGGGGUGUGCUAAGUGGCAGAUUCCCAGUUGGCUCAUCGUAA
rnacentral:lncRNA from 1 species